ACUAUAAAUGUUUUCAUAACACCUGAUUCAUAGUAGUGUGAACUGCACACGUGAUGUGAGAUCCAUAGUAAAACUAACCAUCAAUUGCAGUAGACACAGUCAGUUCUGCCGAACAGCCAGCCAAAGAAAAAUUGCAAACCCAAAAAACAUUUUUUCGUUUAAAUUAGAUGGUACGAUCACUCUCAAUAAGGGAUUUGAAACAAAUCAACUAAUUCAUCAUUUAUCGAUUCAAAUUUGGUAACUUAUCGACGAAUGCAGCAACAUCGAAUUAAACUUGGAAUUGAAUCAAGGUUAUCGAGUGCAUAAUAUUACGUGUAAGAACGAAAUCCUUCAUUUGGGUGAUGAAACGACGAUGAGAGAAACAAUGUUGAAAAAAAGUAUACGCAGAAUUCAACCGAAAAUAUUAUCAUGGAAGUGCACUCCUCCGUGUCAAUAGAAAAGAUGCUCAGGUCCAGUUUCAGCCGAAGUUCCUGCUUAUUGUCCACUGGCGUUCAAAUAAUCCAUCUCCCAGUUCCUGAAUUCACACGAGACGGCACAAGAUUAGUUUUAUACAAACAAAUUUCCUCCUAGAUGUGGGAA